rnacentral:rRNA from 1 species
AACGCGAAGAACCUUACCUGGGCUCGAAAUGGAGUGGACCGGAGUAGAAAUAUUCCUUCCCCGCAAGGGGCUGCUCUAUAGGUGCUGCAUGGCUGUCGUCAGCUCGUGUCGUGAGAUGUUGGGUUAAGUCCCGCAACGAGCGCAACCCUCGCCCUUAGUUGCUAGUCCGCAAGGACGCACUCUAGGGGGACUGCCACGGAUAACGUGGAGGAAGGUGAGGAUGACGUCAAGUCCUCAUGGCCUUUAUGUCCAGGGCUACACACGUGCUACAAUGGCUAGUACAAUCCGUCGCCAACCCGCAAGGGGGAGCCAAUCGGACAAAGCUGGCCUCAGUUCGGAUUGCAGUCUGCAACUCGGCUGCAUGAAGCUGGAAUCGCUAGUAAUGGCAGAUCAGCAUGCUGCCGUGAAUACGUUCCCGGGCCUUGUACACACCGCGCAUA